CUUUCUUUCUUUUCUUUCUUUCCUCUUUCUCUCUUUCCUUCUUUCUUUUUUUCUUCUUUCCUUCCUUCCUUCCUUCUUUCUUUUCUUUCUUUCCAUUUUUUUUUCCUCCAGAAGAAUGGAAACAGUAUUCUUUUCCGAUCAGUUCAGUAAUACAAUGUCCUUCAGUGUCCAUAUGAGCAUCUCAGUGGAGAAGAAAAGAAACUUUGCUACCUGGGAACUGAAGACUACUUAGUGAAGAUCCCGGUGUUACACAUCCAAUCGUUCACCUCCUUCCAAGACUAUGACAUUCCAGGAAACCUUCACUGCUAAGAGGAACUAAGAUCUAGAGUAUCUCCUCGAGGAAGUACAACUGGAUUCUCCCUCCUUGGUUCUUCCCUGGACCAAGGACAGAAGAAACAUUCAACACAGAGGCUAUUGACAAAAGGGGCAUAUUUGGUGCAAACAGGGGUAAGUCAUGAUUAGUUCA
rnacentral:lncRNA from 1 species